UACGGAGGGUGCAAACGUUGCUCGGAAUCAUUGGGCGUAAAGCGCACGUAGGUGGCUUGUUAAGUCGGGUGUGAAAUCCCUGGGCUCAACCCAGGAAGUGCACUCGAAACUGGCGAGCUUGAGUACUGAAGAGGGUCGCGGAAUUCCCGGUGUAGAGGUGAAAUUCGUAGAUAUCGGGAGGAACACCGGUGGCGAAGGCGGGUCUCUGGGCCGAUAUUGACGCUGAGGAGCGAAAGCCAGGGGAGCGAACGGG
rnacentral:rRNA from 1 species